UUUUUUGUACACACCUACAAUGUUAAUGCACCAAAUCCCAUAUGAAAUCUGAAUUUAAUCAUGCUUGGGAUAGAGUAGUACUAAUAUGGGUGAGCUCUCGAGAAUUUCUAUCAUUUUACAUGC
rfam:Picea glauca, whole genome shotgun sequence.